rnacentral:rRNA from 1 species
CAGCCGUAAACUAUGCGCGUUAGGUGUAUCGGUGACCACGAGUUACCGAGGUGCCGAAGGGAAACCGUGAAACGUGCCGCCUGGGAAGUACGGUCGCAAGGCUGAAACUUAAAGGAAUUGGCGGGGGAGCACCACAACAGGUGGAGCCUGCGGUUUAAUUGGACUCAACGCCGGGAAGCUCACCGGAUAGGACAGCAGAAUGAUUGCCGGGCUGAAGACCCUGCAUGACUAGCUGAGAGGUGGUGCGACUGAGA